UACGAAGGGGGCUAGCGUUGCUCGGAAUCACUGGGCGUAAAGGGUGCGUAGGCGGGUUUUUAAGUCAGGGGUGAAAUCCUGGAGCUCAACUCCAGAACUGCCUUUGAUACUGAAGAUCUUGAGUCCGGGAGAGGUGAGUGGAACUGCGAGUGUAGAGGUGAAAUUCGUAGAUAUUCGCAAGAACACCAGUGGCGAAGGCGGCUCACUGGCCCGGUACUGACGCUGAGACGCGAAAAGCGUGGGGGAGCAAACAGG
rnacentral:rRNA from 1 species